ensembl:lncRNA
GCAGAAUCCCCCCAACCUCUGGCCACUGAGUCUACCUGGCGUCCUCUGGGGAAGGUGAUGCUGCGUUCCACGGGGUGCUGAGAGAGGGGAAGCCUCCGGGGCCCUCUGCCAUCAAGGGGCACAUGCAGAUUCCCUUAGUUGCACUGACUCCAACCUGAGCACCUACCCUCCCUCACCUGUACCAUGAGGUCCCAGAGGGCGGGGGCUGAGGGUCAUCCCUGUCCCUCCAGGAUCUGCACUCAGUGCUGCGUGCUCGGCUGUGACUCCUCAGCCAUACUCACCGUGCCCAGCUCACCGGACAGACAGGACCCUGGGCUGGGCUUCUUUGCAGCCCUUGUGCUUUGAGCCUAGAGCACAGCCCGCAGGGGAAGCUGCCUGCGUACAUAACACCCUGGAUACCCCGACCUUUGCAGCCAUCUGAGAGCCUCAGGCUCACACUCACCCAGGAGAUGUCACCACUGUAUCUUCUGCAGAGCUGGAGUCAGCAGCAGUAGCAGCUUAGAGCUUUAGACCAGCGAGCCACAGUCAGUCCUCCUCAAGGGCCUCUCACCUUGCGUGUUGUUCUAGGGGUCCCCAGAGAAAUAGAACCGAAAGGAUAUAUAGGAUAUAUGCAUAGAGAGAUUGAUGAUGAGGAAUUUUUCAUGCCGCUGUGGAGGUGGAGGCUGUCAAGUCCAAAAAUCAGCAGUCGGCAAGCUGGAGGCCUGGGCGAGCCACUGGUGUAAGUUCCAGUCUGAGUGCAGAAGACCGACAGCCCGGCUUGAAAACAGGCCGAGAGCGCCUUCUCCCUCGCCAAUGCUUUUUGUUCUCUUCAGGCCCCCAACUGCUUGGAAGAGGCUCAUCCACACAGGGAGGGCCACCUGCUUUGCUCAGUCCACUGAUUCAAACGCUAAUCUCAUCCAGACACACCCAGAAUAAUGUUUAACCAAAUAUCUGGGCACCCUGUGGCCCAGUCGAGCUGACAUGUUAGAAUGAACGCACACGCUGGUAAAGGCUGCCUGGGCUCCUCCCACUCCCGGGCAUCAGGCCUCGUGUACUCGGUUUUACUGACUCCAUUUCACUGAUUUUACUGUCUCGAGGACAGUCCUCCGUGGAAGUUCUGUCACUGUGGGUUCUCCGUGAAAUUGCCAGCAUUUGGCCUGAGUGACCUCCUAGCUCUCUGCUAGCCAAUGCUGGUCCCACGGUGCCUCUGAGCAUGGCAGGCAUGGUGGGGCUGUCCCUCUGCAGCUGCCGGCCAGAGUGUCGGGUCUGAGAGGCCUCGGGCUGCAGGCUGGGAGACGUUGCAGGGAGCUUACCUCCGCUGAGCCUCACCCACAGGAUUCUUUGAUGGGACCCCACCUCCAUGGUCCCAGUUUUAAGGUCAUCUGAUUGUUUUUAUGACUUUACUUUCCCCAGAAAUUUGCUUCCAAGCAGGUCCAGCUGAAAUCAGCACCUUUUAAAAAGUCAAUCCGAAUGAAAAACGGUGUUUUAUUUUUUAGGUUUUACCACUUGCAAACCUGAGGCCACCCCCUGCUCUGUCCUUCCGGAUAUACAACAGCGGAGCCAUGAGAUGGCCGCAGCAAAGGGGUCUCCGAAACGACCUAGUGAUCCAGGAGUUAAGAAGGAAUUACUUAGGCAGAUAGCAAGGGUAUGGGAGUCCUCCGUCAGGCCUUCCUUUUUAAUGAAAAGCAGCCCCAAAUCAUUUUCUAACAAAGAGCAGCCUGAGAGCUGGGAGCUUGCAUGGGUGAACAGCGGCCGGAACUAAAGACUAGACAUUUUCAUUUAUUUAUUUUUUUAUUUAGAGACAGAGUCUCGCUCUGUUGCCCAGGCUGGAGUUCAGUGGUGUGAUCUUGGCUCACUGCGACCUCCACCUCCUGGGUUCAAGCAAUUCUCCUGCCUCAGCCUCCCGAGUAGCUGGGAUUACAGGCAUCUGCCACCACACCCUGCUAAAUUUUGUAUUUUUAGUAGAGAUGGGGUUUCACCAUGUUGGCCAGGCUGGUCUUGAACUGCUGACCUCAGGUGAUCCACCCGCCUCAGCCUCCCAAAGUGCUGGGAUUACAGGAAUGAGCCACCGAGCCCAGCCAGGGCUAGAUAUUUUCCAGAUGGCAGUUCCAUCUUCACUUCUCUGCCAGCCAUGUGUUCUGUAAGGAGCAGACAAGAUGGCCCCGAUCAACUGGAAAACCCAUUUGCAUAAUAGGAGCAGCCUUCUCCACGCACUGUGUAAACCUCACACCUGAUCGAACCAAUCUGUGAUCCCUACGUAACUCAGACGCUGCCUCCUCAAAUGACUGUACAACACCGUACAUUCACCAGCAGUGGGUCCUUUCUGCUUGGAGACCCCUUCCUCCACAGAGGAAACUCUUGCUCUUUCUCUCUUCUACCUAUUAAACCUCCGCUCCUAUACUCCUCCUGUGUGUCCCUGUCCUAAAUUUUCCUGGCAGGUGACAACAAAUCCCAGGGGAUCUACCCCAGACGAUGUAGCUGCUUCAUUAGGAUACUGAGGCCCAGAGAGGAAAUGAGAGUCUCAGGACUCAUUCCACACCAGCCGGUCCAUGGGCCAUUCCCUCUGACCCACCCAACACAAGCUCUUCCCCAGCUGUUUGAAGAAGGGAAGGAAGUGAGAAAUAAACUUUAAGCAGAUAUCAAUGUCAAUUGAGAUAAACAUCAAGCUUUAUUGACUUAAGAGGUAAAUAUUGACAGAACUGAAAUGCCAAAUCAAUAUUUACCUCCAGGGAUGCUAUAGCCUGAAUUUGAAGUUGGGUUAUGUGCACGUCAACGCAUCUCCAAGUCCCAACGUCUUCAUCAGCAGUAUGUGAUCAUUUCAGCAACGGGCUAAAAUUGAAAGGUGUGGUGAGAGAUUUCCAGAGGGUCCUCUCAUGGAGGGCUGGGGAGAAGUUCAUGAUCACCAUGAGGGGUCAUCAGCACAGACCCGGAGGGUCAGCGUCUGAAAACUGCAUCACUGGCACAGAAUGACCGUGACCAAAUUUGCUUCACUUUUUGCUGAGCACUCACCUGACAGAGCAUAAGAUUCCAGCCAGAAAGGCACUGAGCACCUGUUUGCCAGGCCUUGUCAGCAUCUAGCUGUGCAGAGCCUGCACCAGCCCUGAGAUCAGGAAGCAGAGAACCCAUGCCUCUGGCCCGCUUGGCCUCUCAGCCACGGGAAAGACAGCCUUCACUGGGACAAUGGCAGUGUUGUUCGUCGUUGGCUUACAAAGAGGAGUUUUAGAAGAUGCCAAGGCCAAGAAAAGACUAUGAGAGAAAAGAAACCAAAAGUUAAAAUCAGGCAAUUCUAUCCACUAACUUCCCCUGCUGUGAAUUGGGAAAAGUUGGCCCUGGGCCGUCUUCAAGGGGUGGGCCCGUACCCAGCCUCCAGCAACCUGGAGCCUGUCUGUGAAUCUGCUUUGUUCCAUCAACUAUCCCUGAUGGAUAAAGACACUCAGGCUAAGGAAGCUGUCCUGCUCCCUCAGAUUCCCAGACAGCCUUGUUUUCUGCUUCUAUGCCUGUCUGGGCUGAGAGAAUUUGCAUUUUUCUAUAACUGACCACUUGUGCCAGCCAAGAUGGAAUAAGUGCACUGCUGUCUACUGUCCCACUGGAAAUGCUGAAAACUUGGGGGGGGGAACAUAAGGAACAACUCCCUGAGCCCUCUAAAAAAAGAACCAGGAAAGGAGGCCCCUGAAUGCCAAAAAUUGUGAGAGAUAUCCUGGAAAUUGUCAGUGAACUUGAAGGUUAAUCAAUAGGAAUUACACAGCCUGCAGAUUGAGAGAAAAAUUAAAUUAAAAAAAAAACAAAAACAGAGCCUCAGGCACCUGUGAAACAAUAUCAAAAAGUCUAAUACUCUUAUUUUUGGAGUCUCGGAAGAAGAAGAGGAGGAUACUGGUGCAGAAAAAUAUUGAAGAAAUAAUGGUUGUAAACUUCCCAGACUUGAUGAAAAUCAUAUAUGUAUAAGUUCAAGAAGGUUAACAAACUCUAAACAAGAUAAACUUUAAAAAAUGCAUUGUAAAUGAAAAUCAAAGGUAAAGGAAAGACAAUUAAAAGCAACCAGAUUAAAACAGUAUACUAUGUAUCAGAGAACGGUACUUUGGAUAAUUGCAAAUUUCUCAUCAUAAAUUAUGGAAGCAGGAAGAUGGUGGAACAACAUCUGUAAAUUACUGAAAGAAAAUGAUUGUCAACCCAGAAUUCUAUAUCUAGCAAAAAUAUCUUAGAAAUGACAGUGAAAUAAAGACAUACUCAGAUUAAGGGAAAGUAAGAGAAUGUGUCACUAACAGACCUACAAAAGAAAUGCUUAGCCAAGUUCUUCAGGAAGAAGGAAAAAUGAUCUGGAGGAACACUUGGAACUUCAUGAAUGACAUUAGAGCAACAGAAAUGGUAAAUAUCAGUCCCCCUAUGAUGAAGAAGAACUGGUCUGUGUGACCAACAGAAUAUGACAGAAUUGACGGUGUGUUGCUCCUGAGGUGAGGAUAUUAAAAGCACUGCAGCUUCUCCAUGGAACUCUUGGUUUCUUCAUUCUGGGGAGAGCAAGAUGCCAUGUCAAUGAGGACACUCCAAAAAACCGUGGAGAGGCUCAUGUGGAGAGAAAGCAACCUGCCAACCAGGAUUUAAGGCAGGGAUUUCCCUUGGAACCACAGCAGAGCCUCAGGUGUGGACCUUGCUGACGUCUUCCUACAUGAGCAGAGUCUGCGGCUUGGAAAGCGUGGCCCCUCCUGCAGGUCCCAGGGCUGGCGACAUCCUCCAGGAGUUGAUGGCAGGCAGUACACACAGGUGCCAGGCUGAGCACCAGGGAGUGAUGCUCCAAACGCCCGCACAACCUCUCCUGGGACUCUGGCCACAAAGAGAAAAACGUGGAAUUUGGAACAAAAACCCAGUUUCCAAACCCAGCUCUGCUGUUGCUUUAUUCUCUUGGGAAGUCAGCAGGCUUCCCUGAGCCCCAUCUAUAAAGUGGGCCUAAUAAUAUCUGCCACUUCCUGUCUUAGAUGUUACGCUUGAUCCAACAAGCAAAUGUACAUGAAAGUGCUUUGUCAAUCCCUAUAGCAGACCCAAUGUGAUUGUUAUCUCAAUGUAGCUAAGUCUACAGUUCUCCUUUGGUCUUUCCACUAAAUUGGCAGCUUUAUGGGGUGACUAAGUCUCUGUCAUGAGAGCUUUGUUGAGGGAGGCCUUGUGUGUUCUGCACCCAAAUGCAGACCUUCACAUUUGUCCCUGUAAAUUAAUACCGUGGUCAUAGCCUACUUUAAGUGUCUCUCCAAGCUUUGUUCAGUUUGAAAAUGUCAUUAAUUUUGCCACCAAAUUUUUGCCUGGGUUAUUCCUAAAAUGUUGGCCCCUUCUGGGUCCAGGACAGAGUUCUCCUUGAGCCUCAGGUUAGCCAUGGCUAACCUGAGAUGAUUAUUCUGCUUGGGCCACAACCGUGUAACCAAUUUCAAGUCAGUGCCGUUGCUUCUGGGGUCUUCCUCGCUGCCCCGCCCGCCUGUCUUGGUUCCUUUUUCUGCUUUACUCCUGUGGUUGUGACACUCACCAAGUGUGUGACGUGGAGGCUGAUUGAGGUUUCUAUUUUGCAUCAUCUUCAACUGCAAAAUGGGGACUGAUCCUGGCAUCUGUUUCACAUCAGCCAGUGGAUUACCAUGUUCAUGACAGGUAAAGCCCCUAUGCCAGGCUUCCUCAGCCUCUGCCCCAUUGACACUUUGGGCCCGGUGAUUCUCUGUGGCAGGGGCUGUCCUGCACCUUGCAGGAAGUUUAGUAGCAUCCCUGGUCUCCAUUCAUUCACUGAUGCCAGCAGCACCCUCUACACCCCUCCCCAGCUGAGAAAAUCCAAACUGUCCCCAGACAUGGCCAAGCUUGUCCAGGGGGACGAGACCUCCCUGGAUGAGAAGCACUGACCUGGACAGCAAAGCACAGGUUUGUGCUGUGUGUGUGUUCGCUGCCGCCUGCGUGUCCCAGCUCUGUCCUGACGGCAUGGAACACGGAGGUGUAUCCUCCUCCCGGAGUUCUCAGGAUGAUUAGGACGCCCCACGUUCCCAGGCUUUCUGCGAGGCUGUCAUGACUGCACAAACAUCCUGCAAAGUUGCAGGUUUCAGCCCCCGCAGCACCCCGAUCCAUUGCCCCUCGGACCCUGCUCAGGGGCAAUCCCACCCCUAAUGAGGGCAGAGGAGGUGGAGGAGGCACUGGAUAUAAAGCUGCUGUGUAACACACAAAGCACUGUUCAGAAAUCAGUGUUACUAUCUCACCCUGGAUGGCACAGAGUGGAUUUAGGAGUAAAGACAAAUUGCUUGGCUCUUACGACUCUGACCUCUGGAUCAUAUUUGCUUCCCUGUGAACAAUGCAGAUUGUCCUCCUGCAAGCUGUUUACAGCUGAGAAUAAGCAGAGGGCAAAGCAGCCUCCUUCAACCACGGCUGCUGCAUCCUUAACCAAUGUUAGCACCUUCCUCACAGAGCGCUGAGAAAGAAAUUAGGCACUGGUUAAAUUGUAAAGCACUGAACAAAGUAUAGGCUGGUAUACUGAUAAUGAGGCACAACUCUGUAGCUCUGGGGUUAGUUCUCAAAAAGCACCUUCAAACUUUCUGAUUAAUAAUAGCACUGCCCCACUAAGAACUUAGCCUCCUUACCAGAUGCACACUGGAGAAAGUGUGUUCAAAGGAUUCACUAUCGUUUGUUGGCUAUGCCAUGCAUUAUAGAUCAUGCCCCAACUGGUUUUAAUACGACCUUAUUUGCCUCUCCAAAUUCUUUAUAAAUAAAGGAUGAUGCAGUUAAAAGAAGGAGUAACAAUGAACCGUGCAUCAGAUGUGGGGUGAACAAGCAGGCCCAGGCCCCACUAUGGGGUGAUUCAACUCAAGAGAGUGGGAGGAGGAUGGAAGGAAACAGGGAAUGUGGCUUCUGCACCAUCCCCUCCACAGCUCAGUGUCUGCCCCCAUGCCAUUCUAGUUUUGCAAUUUCACUUGCAUGAGUCUGUCUCUUUGUGUGAUUUUGAAGCUGUUCUGUGGAUACUAUCAUUGCAAUAUCUUCUUUCAUUUCCCUCUCCGGAAAUUAAUAAGAUUUGCUUCUUAAAAAUAAACCUGAAAGAGUGAGACGAGAUUGCGCCACUGCACUCCAGCCUGGGCGUCAGAGCGAGACUUCGUCUCAAAAAGAAAAAAUAAAAAUAAAAAUAAAAA